rnacentral:rRNA from 1 species
AGAGAUGUGUGAUGACGCAUAUCAAUAAGCGGAGGAAAAGAAACUAACAAGGAUUCCCUUAGUAACGGCGAGUGAAGCGGGAAGAGCUCAAAUUUGAAAUCUUCAAGGUUCUACCUUGACGAAUUGUAGUUUAUAGAAGUGUUUUCUGUUAGUAGAGUGGCAAAAGUUCUUUGGAAUAGGACAUCAUAGAGGGUGAGAAUCCCGUAUUUGGUCAUUCUUUCUAGCUUUGUGAUACACUUUCAACGAGUCGGAUUGUUUGGGAAUGCAGUCCAAAAUGGGUGGUAAAUUUCAUCUAAAGCUAAAUAUUGGCGAGAGACCGAUAGCGAACAAGUACCGUGAGGGAAAGAUGAAAAGAACUUUGAAAAGAGAGUUAAACAGUACGUGAAAUUGUCAAAAGGGAAGCGUUUGACACCAGUGUUGUUUUUCCGAAAAUCAAUUACGAAUGUUUUAUUUUUGAGAAGUUAUGACUUCAUCGGCUUGCUUCUCUCUUUAUGAAACUUUCUUAAUGCACUUUUCGGUUAACAAGUCAACAUCAAUUUCUUUUGUUGUAAAAGGGUACUGAGGAAGGUGGCUUUCUUUUCGGAGAAAGUGUUUAUAGCCUUGUACCUCUGCAAUCGGAGAGAUUGAGGUCUGCAGCGUAGAUCCUUCGGGGUUAGAUACAUUUGUGCUAAGUUAUAGCUUUUCAUAGACAACUUGUUGACUAUGUUUAGUCUUGUAGCUUACUCGCUUAUGCUAUUUUACCUACGCUUAGGAUGUUGAGUCGUAGAGCACGCAG